rnacentral:rRNA from 1 species
CGAAAGCCUGACGGAGCAAUACCGCGUGGGGGAGGAAGGCUCUUGGGUCGUAAACCUCUUUUCUCAGGGAAGAAUGACGGUACCUGAGGAAUCAGCAUCGGCUAACUCCGUGCCAGCAGCCGCGGUAAUACGGAGGAUGCAAGCGUUAUCCGGAAUGAUUGGGCGUAAAGCGUCCGCAGGUGGCAAUUCAAGUCUGCUGUUAAAGGUCGGGGCUCAACCCCGAAAUGGCGGUGGAAACUGAAUAGCUAGAGUGCGGUGGGGGCAGAGGGAAUUCCUGGUGUAGCGGUGAAAUGCGUAGAGAUCAGGAAGAACACCGGUGGCGAAAGCGCUCUGCUAGGCCGCAACUGACACUCAUGGACGAAAGCUAGGGGAGCGAAUGGGAUU